rnacentral:rRNA from 1 species
GGCAGCAGUGAGGAAUAUUGCCCAAUGGAGGAAACUCUGAGGCAGCAACGCCGCGUGAACGAUGACGGCCUUCGGGUUGUAAAGUUCUUUUCUCAGGGAAGAUGAUGACGGUACCUGAGGAAUAAGUCCCGGCUAACUACGUGCCAGCAGCCGCGGUAAAACGUAGGGACAAGCGUUAUCCGGAUUUACUGGGCGUAAAGCGCCCGUAGGCGGCUUUGUAAGUUGGACGUGAAAGCUCCCGGCUUAACUGGGAGAGGCCGUUCAAAACUGUGGAGCUAGAGUGAGGCAGAGGAGCGCGGAAUUCCCGGUGUAGUGGUGGAAUGCGUAGAUAUCGGGAGGAACACCAGUGGCGAAAGCGGCGCUCUGGGCCUAAACUGACGCUGAGGGGCGAAAGCGUGGGGAGCGAACGGGAUUAGAUACCCCGGUAGUCCACGCCGUAAACGAUGGAGACUAGGUGUAGGCGGAUAGAACCCCGUCUGUGCCGAAGCCAACGCGUUAAGUCUCCCGCCUGGGGAGUACGGCCGCAAGGUUA